AGUGAACGCUGGCGGUAGGCCUAACACAUGCAAGUCGAACGGCAGCACAGUAAGAGCUUGCUCUUACGGGUGGCGAGUGGCGGACGGGUGAGGAAUACAUCGGAAUCUACUUUUUCGUGGGGGAUAACGUAGGGAAACUUACGCUAAUACCGCAUACGACCUACGGGUGAAAGCAGGUGAUCUUCGGACCUUGCGCGAUUGAAUGAGCCGAUGUCGGAUUAGCUAGUUGGCGGGGUAAAGGCCCACCAAGGCGACGAUCCGUAGCUGGUCUGAGAGGAUGAUCAGCCACACUGGAACUGAGACACGGUCCAGACUCCCACGGGAGGCAGCAGUGGGGAAUAUUGGACAAUGGGCGCAAGCCUGAUCCAGCCAUACCGCGUGGGUGAAGAAGGCCUUCGGGUUGUAAAGCCCUUUUGUUGGGAAAGAAAAGCAGCAGGUUAAUACCCCGCUGUUCUGACGGUACCCAAAGAAUAAGCACCGGCUAACUUCGUG
rnacentral:rRNA from 1 species